UAUGACUACGUGUUCGACUGGAACAUGCUCAAAUUUGUUGCUGUCUCGGCUUAAAAUCUGACCUCCCCACCCCCGUGCAUCUGGAUAGUGCAGCACAGAUCCGGCUGCCGGCUGCUGGCCACGCCACCACACCUGCACAGGCUGUUGGAGGCUGCAGGGUCCGGACCCUGAGUGUACUCCUCGUCCGACCAAACGCUCUCAUCCCCACCCCGCUUUCCUCCCCAGCUGUCACCAUUUGGGGCCUGUCUUUGGCCUCCGAUGGUUCCUGUCCCUCUCCUCUUUCUGCACGUGUUAGUGAGCAUGUUCACAGAGCAGCAGGGGGUAGCUGCUGCCCAUUUGGAAGUUUAAGGAAGUUCUGAGCCCACAGGGAGAUGCCAUGGCGAGUGGGGUUUUUUCGAUUGUUGGGGGAGCUGAGAGGCCUGGCUCUGACCCCUUGUGGGGAUGAUGCUGUCAUCCCAUGAGGAGAAACGUGCAGCCUGUGGGGGGCUUUGCAGGCAGUCUCGUCCCAGUGCCCUUUGGGUGCCAGCCGGGCCGCCGAUGACGCCGAGCGGGAGCGCAGGGACCGAGAGGAGCGGCUGAGACACUCGCGGAACCCGGCUACCCGCGGCCUCCCUUCCACAGCCUCCGGCCGCCUGCGGGGGACGCAGGAAGUGGCUCCCCCCACACCCCUCACCCCUACCUCACACACGGCUAACACCUCCCCCCGGCCCGUCUCCGGCAUGGAGAGAGAGCGGAAAGUGAGUAUGCGGCUGCACCGCGGGGCCCCCGUCAACAUCUCCUCGUCCGACCUCACAGGCCGACAAGAUACCUCUCGCAUGUCCACCUCACAGAAUAGCAUUCCUUUCGAACACCACGGCAAGUAGCUGCUCGUCUCCCAUCGGAAGGCAGCACUGGAUUCCUGGUCGGGUGGCUUCCAGUGGUCUUCAGUCUGUCGUGCACCGAUGAGAACUCUCCUUAUUGCUGUGAAGGGCAGACAAUGCAUGGCUGAUCUACUCUGUUACCAAUGGCUUUACUAGUGACACGUCCCCCGGUCUAGGAUCGAAAUGUUAACACCGGGAGCUCUCCAGGCCACUCACCCAGC
rnacentral:lncRNA from 1 species